rnacentral:lncRNA from 1 species
CUGGAUUCUUUACUGGAUUCACUGGCAGCAUCGUCUUCAUCCAGUUUGCGCUUAUGGCCCCUGGGUACACUGCCUGUUAAGCUUUUUUCACUUGAUGAUGAUGAUAACGAUGACGACGAUGAUCGAGGUCUCUGAUCCGUUUUCACUCCUGUAGCCUCCGUUGCACUAAUCUGAGGUUUUUCACCUUUCUCUUCUGGCUUUUUUUUUUCACUAUCAC